GAUGAACGCUAGCGGCAGGCUUAACACAUGCAAGUCGAGGGGUUUUGGUUUUCGGACCAAGAGACCGGCGCACGGGUGCGUAACGCGUAUGCAAUCUACCUUUUGCAGAGGGAUAGCCCAGAGAAAUUUGGAUUAAUACCUCAUAGUAUAGUACUUUGGCAUCAAGGAACUAUUAAAGUCACAACGGCAAAAGAUGAGCAUGCGUCCCAUUAGCUAGUUGGUAAGGUAACGGCUUACCAAGGCUACGAUGGGUAGGGGUCCUGAGAGGGAGAUCCCCCACACUGGUACUGAGACACGGACCAGACUCCUACGGGAGGCAGCAGUGAGGAAUAUUGGACAAUGGGCGCAAGCCUGAUCCAGCCAUGCCGCGUGCAGGAUGACGGUCCUAUGGAUUGUAAACUGCUUUAUACAGGAAGAAACACUACUUCGUGAAGUAGCUUGACGGUACUGUAAGAAUAAGGAUCGGCUAACUCCGUGCCAGCAGCCG
rnacentral:rRNA from 1 species